rnacentral:rRNA from 1 species
CCUACGGUCGGCAGCAGUGGGGAAUAUUGCACAAUGGGGGAAACCCUGAUGCAGCGACGCCGCGUGAGUGAAGAAGUAUUUCUGUAUGUAAAGCUCUAUCAGCAGGGAAGAAAAUGACGGUACCUGACUACGCCGCCCCGGCUAACUACGUUCCAGCAGCCGCGGUACUACGUAGGGGGCAAGUGUUAUCCGGAUUUACUGGGUGUAACGGGAGCGUAGGUGGCAUGGUAAGCCAGAAGUGAAAACCCAGGGCUCAACUCUGUGGAUUGCUUUUGGAACUAUCAAGCUAGAGUGCUGGAGGGGUAAGCGGAAUUCCUAGUGUAGCGGUGAAAUGCGUAGAUAUUAGGAGGAACACCGGUGGCGAAGGCGGCUUACUGGACAGAAACUGACACUGAGGCUCGAAAGCGUGGGGAGCAAACAGGAUUAGAUACCCUUGUAGUC